rnacentral:misc_RNA from 1 species
GAUGAAGAACGCAGCGAAAUGCGAUAAGUAAUGUGAAUUGCAGAAUUCAGUGAAUCAUCGAAUCUUUGAACGCACAUUGCGCCCUCUGGUAUUCCGGGGGGCAUGCCUGUUCGAGCGUCAUUGCUGCCCUCAAGCACGGCUUGUGUGUUGGGCCUCCGUCCUCCUCCCGGGGGACGGGCCCGAAAGGCAGCGGCGGCACCGCGUCCGGUCCUCGAGCGUAUGGGGCUUCGUCACCCGCUCUUGUAGGCCCGGCCGGCGCUUGCCGACACAUCAAUCUUUUUUCCAGGUUGACCUCGGAUCAGGUAGGGAUACCCGCUGAACUUAAGCAUAUCAAUAAGCGGAGGA